GACAGGCGCGGGUGAAAGCUCUGCAGAGCGUGUAUCAAGAUUAUGUGGAUGAGUCAACGGAGUACAUGUAACGGGCGUCGGAGUUCUCCUACCCGAGACCUAUCAGCGCACCGCCAAGCCCUAGCUCAUCCAGACACACCACACCAGCACCUUCACUGCACGGCUCGGACGAUGAAGAAGACUCCGUCAACUCGGAGGAAGAGCUAGAGGAGCUUAAAAUGAAUUCACAUAACUAAGCGUCGCCAACAAUCCUGGGUCGCGAAUCCUCGCGAAGACCGGAAAUAUCAACCUCGGUGCCGUGCCUCCAGAUCCACUCCUUGCAGCCAUAGAAGAAUGCCUUCGUCGGAGGACACUGUCUGGUCACCGCACCUGUUUUACCACAACUGACCGUUACUAAAAUUCUAUUUAAGUUUGUCACCCCGUCUCCUCUAACUUCCUGCGGCUGUCGGUGCUGCCCAGCGACCCAUCAACCCAUUUGUGUUCAACCACGCGAACGGUAGUUCAAAGCAAAAGCGGUCUAGAAAUGUGUGGCUAGCUCGUUGUUAAACUGUCAGAAAGUAUAAAUUUAAUAAAAACAAUCUAUGGAAAUGUUA